rnacentral:rRNA from 1 species
GACGAACGCUGGCGGCGUGCUUAACACAUGCAAGUCGAACGGAAAGGCCCUGCUUUUGUGGGGUGCUCGAGUGGGGAACGGGUGAGUAACACGUGAGUAACCUGCCCUUGACUUUGGGAUAACUUCAGGAAACUGGGGCUAAUACCGGAUAGGAGCUCCUGCUGCAUGGUGGGGGUUGGAAAGUUUCGGCGGUUGGGGAUGGACUCGCGGCUUAUCAGCUUGUUGGUGGGGUAGUGGCUUACCAAGGCUUUGACGGGUAGCCGGCCUGAGAGGGUGACCGGCCACAUUGGGACUGAGAUACGGCCCAGACUCCUACGGGAGGCAGCAGUGGGGAAUAUUGCACAAUGGGCGGAAGCCUGAUGCAGCAACGCCGCGUGCGGGAUGACGGCCUUCGGGUUGUAAACCGCUUUCGCCUGUGACGAAGCGUGAGUGACGGUAAUGGGUGAAGAAGCACCGGCUAACUACGUG